rnacentral:misc_RNA from 1 species
UGGAGGUUCGAGUUUCUUAAGGGAGUGUUGAUCAUAAGCAAUUGAUAAUUCAUGCGACUUUGCACUCCCAUCUGCAACUAGUGGCUUCGCAACAAUUGGUAGCAUCAGCCCAGCGUUUGUGACUGUGUCAGGGAUGGAUGCUGCAUCCUUUUUGAUAACUAAUUGCCUGGGAAUAUCUACUUUACCAUAGGAGUUCGACAGAUUCAUAUCAGCCACACACUGAAGCAUAGACUGACGAUUGUGUAAAUGUUGAAUAGCAUCUGGAGGAUCAAGUACAGUGACUUCUGGAUGAGUCCUUCUGUAGUCCUCAAGAAUCUGUCGCCACUCCUUUCCAGUUAGCUUAUGCAAAACAAUGUCAAAAGGGCCUUGAUCUGAAAGGGGCCUGUUUUGAUCAAUUGCAAGAAAUAAUAUACCUUUAUUCCUAGCUAAACCCUCGAGCUUUGGCUGCAAGAAGCUCUUAAUUUUCUUGGAGGUAAGAGCGUAACCAACAACAACGAGUUUCCUCUGGAGAGGACAAGGAUGGUGAGGAGGAAGAAACCCAGCUUCUAUAGAGGAAA